rnacentral:rRNA from 1 species
UACGUAGGGGGCAAGCGUUGUCCGGAUUUAUUGGGCGUAAAGAGCGUGUAGGCGGCUUUACAGGUCCGUUGUGAAAACUCGAGGCUCAACCUCGAGACGCCGGUGGAAACCGUAAGGCUAGAGUCCGGAAGAGGAGAGUGGAAUUCCUGGUGUAGCGGUGAAAUGCGCAGAUAUCAGGAAGAACACCCGUGGCGAAGGCGGCUCUCUGGGACGGUACUGACGCUGAGACGCGAAAGCGUGGGGAGCGAGCAGG